UCUCUCAUUUGCGUUGGUUUGAACUAUCUUUGGUAAAGCUAUUACAAGAUCCGGUGGAUGUGUUCUUCUCCAAGAAAAUAUCGGGGUGACUUUAGAUUCAUUCAUUUGGCUAAGUUCAAAUUGUUCAAUGAAAGAUUUUUCGAAUGUAUUGUUCGGCCGCCUACUGGUGGAAGGAAAAAUCUACAUGUUCUGACCGGUUUCAUGAAGAAAGGCAUCAUAUUUAUGAGAAACAUGGAGAUGCCAAAUCAAUUGAGCUGAAGGAGAUUGGCCCACGGUUUGAAUUGCGACUGUACCAGUCUGCACGGAAAGAGUAUAGUUAUUGUUCUUAUUAGGCACAUCUUCAAGUUGGUUAUGAAUGAGCUGGAAGAAGGAAUAUUCCUCCAUAAAUUUGUUACAGAAGGUUGCAUGGGAUUGGCUAAUUGGUUGAGGUUUUUCACCUGAAUUCUUUUCUCCUUCAAGGGAUAUUUUUCAUGCGUAAAGUGGUCCCCAACUGAAGUGUUUCCCCUGAUGUUAUUAAAUGGUCGGUCGAGCAAGCAUUCAGGUGAGCAGCAAGUAAGCGAGUAAGUGAACGAGCGGCAAACAAGGAGCUAGUGAGGACCAAGUAUGAGUAUGCAACUUUGAAGCACGGGCUAUUUAAAUGUUUUCUUCUCGUUGUUGUGAGCUAUGGCUUUGUAUUUUCCUCAUCCAUACAGAAUUCCUCUCUAUUCUUGUUAUGAAGAUCAGUAAAGAAGUUUGAGAGACCUUUCAUAGUGGAUGUAAAUCUCAUCUUGAGAUUGAACCACUAUAAUUUUUGUGUUGUUUGUUCUUUCUACUCUUUCUCCUCUUCUUCUUCGAGUACUUCUGUUGUUACUACAGUGA